ACCGAAGCCUGUAACCGCCUCCGGGCGUGAUGGGUGGCUGGUAUCCUCCUUCUGAGGGGUGUAUGGCGCAGCGUGGGCCGGUCUCCGGGCCGCGCAUCCCCAGUGCUGCGGCGGACCAUCCCUUGGGCAACUCAGUGGGGGCAAUUGGAUAGCCCGUGGGGACCUUUGGCGGCUUCGGCCCUGGGGGCUUCCUGGGCUGGGCGCUGGGCUUCGGUCCACGCCUCGACCUAUAAACUAAUUCUGAACCCCUCUUCAUUGAGGGGCUCUGGGUGGUCCCCCGUCCUUUGGGGCGAGGCCUCCUGGUAAAGAUAGUUACCUGGUUGAUUCUGCCAGUAGUCAUAUGCUUGUCUCAA
rnacentral:misc_RNA from 2 species